rnacentral:tRNA from 1 species
AAGAUUUUAAGUUAUACCUUUAAACUUUAAACCUUCAAAGUUUAAUAAAUAAUUUAUUAUAAAUCUUA